rnacentral:lncRNA from 1 species
CAUUUUCACCGGAAAAUAUUAAACCCUUAUUAUCAUGCAGAUAAUGACUAAUUAGAAAGUCAUCAUAUGUACCUGAUGGAAAGGGGAGGAGUCAACCGAAUAGUAGCAUUAUGAGUCGGUUUCGCAAGAAUCCCUCUUUCUUUCAGUUUGAUACAAAGAUCGUAUGCAGUUGCAGGGAACAAAGACUUGCUAGUUAGCUCUACCGCAUUAAAUAAUCCUUUCCCUCUAAUUUCCAUUACAAUUUCAGGAAACCGUUGCUGAGUUUUUGUUAAUAACCGCCUCAACUCCUCUCCCAUUUCAGCAGACCUGGAUUGCAAUUACAAGCGCGUGGUUGAUUGAUUAUAAAGGAUCCGAAUAUUUGUAUGUGAUAUUGGAUAAUUAAAAUUUAUUACCUCUCGGCAAGUUUCUCAUCUUGUAUCACCUGCAAUGAUGCGAUGCCAACCGCACUAGCCAAUGGAUUUCCUCCAAAUGUACUAAAAAUCAAUAAAACGUAAGCAUGUUAUUUGUUGGUUAUUAACUAUCAUGAAAUUACGAAAACAAGAAAUCACUAUUUGUUACAGGAUAAAUAUUAGUCGAUGAAUACUGUAUACAUAUAACAUACCUCCCAUGCUCACCAGGUUGUAUGCAAAGCAUAACAUCUUUGUCUGCAAGAACCGCACUCACUGGUAUCACGCCACCACCUAACGCUUUUCCUAAUAUCUGAAAUAAAACAAAUAUAAAACGAGAAUGAUCAUUAGAUAAAAAUGGCGAAAAUCCAUAGAAAUAACAGAAUAGAUGAAAAAAAGAGUAAAUACAUAUGAGUUAAAAAAAAAUGUUGAUACCUGAUCUUUGGGAAUUCUUUUUUUCUCGUAACCCCAUUUUCUUGCCAACUUUAAAGCAGUUUCUACUCCUUCAGCACCGGUGUUCAUUGGCAGAACCAUAUCGUAUCCAAAUAAUUUGGUUAGAUACUCUGCAAAGACCGGAAAUUUGUCGUUGUAGAAGGCUCUAGAACUGAGAGUUAGGGUUUGUGCCUGCUCAAUUAAUGCUUUCAUGAUCGUCGGAUGACAAUGUCCCUGUAUCAAAAACCAAUUUAAUGUCCUUUUUGAUCCAAAAACAAAAUAAAAGAAAAAUCAUAAUCAAUGUGUAACAACUUCAAGUUCAAAUUCAACUUCCACUGGUUUUCAGCCUUUAACCCCCCCUUGAAGCGCAAGCUGCGCUUUAUCAGGCCCAAUUUGUUCGGUGGGGGUCCAUGAGUUUACCAGUAACGUGUUCUCAUGGUCACCAAGAGAAAACUAAGUGUGUUUUACCUGAUUAACUGCAGAGUAAGCUGCAAGGAAGUCGAGAUAUUUAUUGCCUUCUGGAUCCCAAAUAGUUGACCCCUUUCCAUGAGAAAAUACUACAGGGACCGGAUGAUAACUGGAAAAGACCAAAUAAGUAUACAAACAAAUCAACAAUUUAAUUUGUUCUUAAAUCCUGAUAACUGAUAAGCAUUUGAACAUGUUGAAGAAAUACGACAACCUGCCAGCAAACGGCAUGAUGGGCUAACCCUGAUAUAUUAAAGACUGUAUAUUACAAAGUAACAUUCAGGUACUAGCGUUCGACUAAAUAUAGAUGGAAGAAACCAUACCGUAAAUAAUUAUCAUUACGAAACUAGUUAUAUAUUCAAUAUUUGUAACUGUAAUUAUCAUAGUCUCCAAGGUAUCUAGGUCUAAUAUCAAUCUUUAUAUAUAAAACCCCUAUGUAUUACAAGGUAUCUAGCCAAGCUGAUACAAACCCUAACUCUAGCAGCCACUUCCGAUAAAAUUGUCGCCACUACAGCCGGAUUUAGCACCCAAAAUACCACCAUCAAGUUGGUACUAUUUUUUGAACAACAAUUUCUAGGAUAAAUACACUAAUACUUGCACUAUGCAGGAUUUCAACUCCCAAGCAUAGUUGUUAAUAGUGAAUAGCGACAAGGGACCUAUAUGCUACAUAGCGACAAAUAGUGACCACCAUUUUAUAUAUAGCGAUACACUAUGAAUUUUGAAUAUUUUUAUAUGUAUAUUAUAUCAAAAUACUCUGGUAUAUAUGCUAUUUUACAUGUAUAUUUAACAAAAACCUAUAAUCCAGCUAUUUUAUAGCUAUAUUUAAUUGCUAUUUAUAUAUAAAAAAAUUAUUUGUCGCUACUCUCGCUAUCAGUCACUAUAACCCCAAUAGCGACGCUACAUUGCUUCGCUACGUAGUGCGCUAUAGUCGCUAUUGACAACUAUGCUCCCAAGCUUUUUGUUGUGGAGCACACCACUUAACCACCAAGAAAUCCGCUUGGGGACCAUCAAGUUCGUACUUGACAGACAUUCUUCCGACCCGAACACUCCCCAAAGACAGACGUCCACACGCCCUCAUCUACUUUAGCCGGAAAAUUCAAAUUCUGGCCAAAUUUCCUACUCAUAAGUUCACAACUACGUAUCCAUAUCUCAUACACACAUGCAGAGCCUAUGAUCAUUCAAUAGAAUACAUCACUUAAAUAUUAUUUUAACUUAUGACCUGCAGUUAAUAAUCACAUAGGCCAAUCAAAUACAGUAAAAUUUUAAAAAGCAAACCAAUUCCAGAUUCACAUCUACACAGGGGCCGGGGGACCCGAACUUUUCGCUCAGUAGUGUUAUCUAUGUAGUUUUCGUAUUGAAAUUUCUAGGUAUAUAAGUUAUAUACGUUUUCGACCCCCGGUUUCUAUAUAAAUUUUUGGGUAUAUACGUUUUCGACCCCAUCAUUGGGUCAAGCUUCGCCACUGCAUCAACAGUUAGUUAUAUCAAAGCUAUAAUCAAAUUCAAAAAAAAUUAAUAAAAACAACUCAUAGUUACGCAAUAAGAAUGCAAUCAGGACAACAUAUUAAUAUAAAGCAAUGAAAAAAAGAUGAAAUUUGAUUAAGAAGGGAAAUAGGGCAUACUUAUGGGCGCUGUAAUCAUGUUCUAAACCAAUCAGGUGACGAGAAGAUGCGGUAGAAGAUGCGAUUCCUUCGGUUACAGUCCCAAAACAUCGAACGCUCUUGAUUCUGUUCAAUACAAGUUGCAGAGGUACUCUGCUCGCCAUAUUUUACAAAAGUAGGUUGUGUUUGAGCGUAUAUUUUGGAUCGAAAUAUGAUGAAUCGCCCCAGAGUAGCAGGAUUUGGAGAUCCCAAUUUAGAAGAUGAAGAUGAAAGUGGAGUGUGUUUACGAAACACUGUAUCCAAAAAGAUAACUAU